rnacentral:rRNA from 1 species
ACGGGGCCCGGCACAAGCGGUGGAGUAUGUGGUUAAUUCGAUGCAACGCGAAGAACCUUACCUGGUCUUGACAUCCCGGAGACCCUUAGGAAACUAGGGGUGCUUCCAUCUGGAAGAAUCUGGAGACAGGUGCUGCAUGGCUGUCGUCAGCUCGUGUCGUGAGAUGUUGGGUUAAGUCCCGCAACGAGCGCAACCCUUGCCUUUAGUUGCCAGCAGUUCGGCUGGGCACUCUAAAGGGACCGCCGGUGUUAAACCGGAGGAAGGUGGGGAUGACGUCAAGUCCUCAUGGCCUUUAUGACCAGGGCUACACACGUACUACAAUGGCCGAUACAAAGGGCAGCGACACUGCGAGGUGAAGCCAAUCCCGUAAAAUCGGUCUCAGUCCGGAUUGGAGUCUGCAACUCGACUCCAUGAAGUUGGAAUCGCUAGUAAUCGUGGAUCAGCAUGCCACGGUGAAUACGUUCCCGGGCCUU